rnacentral:tRNA from 1 species
GGUAGGUUAACUCAGUAGGCCAGAGUACUGUAUUAACAAUUCAGCGGUCGUGAGGUUCGAAUCCCACACCUACCA